rnacentral:tRNA from 1 species
UGGGUUGUAGCUCAGCGAUAGAGCACUCGCCUAGCGCAUGUGAGGCCCUGGGUUCGAUCCUCAGCACCACAU